CUUUCUUCAGAUCCCGAACACACUCCCUCCGCUGAUCUAUGCAAAAGGAAGCCACGUCUCUGCCGUCUGCGGCCUUCACCUUUACCAGUGUUUGGUUCAUGGGAAUGCUUACAGAGGAAAGCAGUAUGGUGAUUGUCAGCAACCGAGCAAAAAGGGAAGCAAAUGGAUUCUUUGCCAGUAAUGAAUUAUUUGGACGAGAAGAAGGACAAAAUGAAUAUUUUAAGAAGGACAAUGGCUCCAAAAAUGUGAGCAACUUUAAACAGCAAAAACAGUACUUUCAUUCCACCACAUAAAUCAUGUAAUGUUCAGUUCACAACACAGACUGAUUCAGCAGAGGCUGUAAUAGCCAUGGGGAGUAUAAAUAUUUCCUAAGAAGUUGAAAAUGUGUUACAAAAAGGACUAAAAUUUGUUCCAACAUCCAAAAUGUCUUGUUUGGUGGCUCUUUUGGGCCUCCGGUAUUUUCAAUGGAAACUACAAUUGAGAAAUAAUUUUUGGAAUAAAAAUAACGUGCUUAUA